rnacentral:rRNA from 1 species
AUGGGGAGAAGGACGGCUAUGCAUGUCUAUGCUCCUCCUGUUCGUAAUGAGAUGGAGUCCAUAUUUAGCAUCUUUAGCCUUGAAUUGUGCUUUACUUGUUUGUAUGUCUUUUACACGAAGCUCACUUUUCUUUUUAUAGUGUAUGGUUUACAUUGGUUCCACUUGUCUAAAAUUUGCAAUUGCCGAUUGAUGCGCAUGUAUGAUUUUUCAAGCAUAAAUACCAAAGCUUCGACUAAUAUAUGUCCUCAUAUAGUGAUGUUCUCUCCAUUUUCCUUUGAAAAAAAAACAAUGGCUAGAUAA